rnacentral:lncRNA from 1 species
AUGAAAUUCCUCCAAUUUCUGGACUUAUCCAACAACCAAUUGACUGGUGAAAUCCCUAAGCACUUGGCCGUGGGUUGCGUCAACUUAGAGUCUCUUGCGUUGUCAAACAACAACUUAGAAGGUCAUAUGUUCUCCAGAAACUUCAACCUGACAAACUUGAAAUGGUUACAAUUGGAAAGCAAUCACUUCGUAGGAGAGAUCCCACAAAGUUUGUCUAAAUGCUCCUCACUAGAAGGAUUGUAUCUUAACAAUAAUAGUCUUUCGGGUAAGAUUCCACGAUGGUUGGGUAAUCUCACAUGGUUACAAUAUAUUAUAAUGCCCAAUAAUCAUCUUGAAGGUCCUAUUCCAGUGGAGUUUUGUCAGCUUGAAUCGCUUCAGAUUUUGGACAUUUCAGACAACAACAUAUCUGGAAGUUUACCAUCUUGUUUCCAUCCUCUCUCUAUCAAACAAGUUCAUCUUUCAAAAAAUAUGUUACACGGACAGCUAAAAAGAGGUACAUUCUUUAAUUGCUCUUCCCUUGUGACAUUAGAUCUUAGCUAUAAUCGAACAUUGCGUACAUUUACCAAGGAAAAGUGCUUAGCCUCCUAUCAGGACUUGAUCUUUCUUGCAACAAGCUAAUCGAUCAUAUUCCUCCUCAAAUUGGAAAUUUGACAAGGAUUCAAGCAUUGAAUCUAUCGCACAACAACUUGACAGGAUCGAUCCCAUCAACAUUUUCAAACUUGAAGCAUGUCGAAAGUUUGGAUCUUUCCUACAACAAAUUGAAUGGGAAAAUCCCUCAUCAGCUUGUGGAGUUAAAUACAUUAGCUGUUUUCAGUGUGGCAUACAAUAACUUAUCAGGCGAAAUUCCAGAACGGAAAGCACAAUUUGCAACCUUCAACGAGCGUAGCUAUGAGGGAAAUACUUUUCUUUGUGGACUGCCAUUGCCCAUUUGCAGAUCACCAGCAACUACGCCGGAGGGUUCAAUUGGCAAUGAACGAGAUGAUAAUUUAAUUGACAUGGACAGUUUCUUUAUCACAUUUACAACAUCGUACGUAAUUGUGAUAUUCGGAAUUGUUAUUGUUUUAUAUGUAAAUUCUUAUUGGCGACGUAGAUGGUUUUACUUUGUUGAAAUGUGGAUAACUUCAUGUUAUUAUUUUAUUGUAGACAAUCUUAUUACAACAAGAUAUUGUCAUUGAAAUUAAUUAGCAAUUUAAUUACGAUUCUUUAAAUUCUAAUCAAGUUUGCUUAGGAAAUAAAUUUAUUUUUAUUUUUUAUUAAAAUUGUAGUAGUAUUUAGCGCUAUAUAGCUUCCAACUUGGUAGAAAGCUCCAUUUUUUGUUGGCUACAGUAAAAGCAUGUUGUUUUAUUCUUCUUAUACUUUACGCCUGCAUCAGCUUAAAUCACUUCUUAAACGCUUGCUUUAACUGCACCGCUUCGUACUGCUCUAUAUAUGUAACGGUUAUGCGGUUGUAGCUCACGGCUCAAGCUACGCGUUUGUUUGACGUGGUAGUUACGUUAUGAUGUUUCGAGUCUGUUAAACAUUCGGUGAUAAGAUUAGUUACAACAAACCUACUAGUUUUAUAAAAUUCAAGUGAGAUGGAAUAAAAUAAAAAAUAAAUAUAAAAUUGGCUUUUAUUUUUUAGGUUAACCAUAUUUUGUGUUCUCUUCGGGCACUACUACAAUUNNNNNNNNNNNNNNNNNNNNNNNNNNNNNNNNNNNNNNNNNNNNNNNNNNNNNNNNNNNNNNNNNNNNNNNNNNNNNNNUGAUUCAGAUUAUAUCAUACAUACUCCAAAUGCAACUAGAAAUUAACAAGUUCAUGCGCACAUAUUUCAUAACAUUAUGAUUGAAAAGUUUCACAAAGAGAAAUUCUAAAUUCAAUCUCUUGCAUCAAGGUAGUUUGAUUGAUUUGAGUUACUUUCUCAUCAAGCUACUAAUAUAACAUUCAAGUCAGGGAGAAAAUAAAUUAAAACUGGGAAGAAAUAACAGUAAAAAUUUGUUGCUCAACAUGAUGUGUAUUUUUUUUCAAGGCAAUUUGGAAACACAAUUGUUACCACAGAUAUUCUUCUCAACUUGGAGAUAAAUACAAAUAUUAAAAUGCAUAUGAUCGCACAUAUUACUUCGAGUUUAGUAAGAUUUCAUUAAAAGAAGCAAUCAAACCACUUAUCAAUUGUCGCAGUCGUUCUAUAAACUAAAAUAGCAAUAUAAUACAAGAAAAAGAACAUAUAGAUACUUGGCAAGAGUUCAUUAAGAAGUCGCAUCACAUUCGGGUGAGGAGUUUGCUUCUGAUAUCUUGCUAGCUGGGGCUUUUUCUUGUCUUUCUACGUAUGCCGAGGGAAACCAACCAGCUUGGCCCUUGCAUUCACCUUCCGACCAUCCAAUAGGAGCCACCUUGAGAAGUUAUGUCUAAAACAAUGAAUUAAACAAAAGUUGACCGUUCAAAGACCUAAGGGGAAAACUAAUUCUUUUACGUAGGAGGAGUGAAUUAGUUGUGAUCACUGAAAUAACAGCAUAACUAUGGAAGCAUAACAAGAUAUAAAUUCACACGUCUAUAAGGGUAAACUGGGUGGUUUAGAACUGAGCUAGCAACCCUACUAUAUUCUGAUUUGCACAUCAAUGUAAAAGGGAAUAUAUGGUAGGAAGAAAGAAAACCAACCAUCAUUUGUUAACUCAUUGCUUUUCAAUCAAAAUUUUAAGAACAAAAUGCCAUGUGCUUUGAACAUCAAAUAAGUAUAAGCAUUAGUUCUAAAUUCCACAUAUCAUAAGUUAGAAGGACAAGUCAAUAGCAUAGUAGAAAAAUCUAUGUGUUGUUAUUUAGAGGGGAAAGUACCUGGCGAACCACAACAUAAUCAUCAAUUGAAAGACUUAGCUCUCCAUUUGCUUGAGCAUCAAAUGGAUGUAUAACCUGCAAGAUAAUGGGAUAAAUAGAACUUAAAAAAAGCAUAACAAAAGCGGCAACAGUAGCAGCAACGUGGUAGUUAUUCAAAUUAUGGAUCAGAUUUUAAAUCCGAAAUUUUGACUGCUCUCCACAAAACAUGGCCUAUGCACAAUAGGUUUUCCUCAUUUCAAGAGUUUGGAACAUUUUGACAUGAGGUUCGCGCGCAUUGCGCUCAACACCAGCUUUCUUCAAAUCAUCGGUGAAUCGAUGCCCUCUCUUAAGUACUUAUUACUGUCAUAUUCUACUCUUGGCACUAACAGCAGCAGGAUUCUUCAUCAAGGUUAAUGAGAUGCUGCCACCCUCCCCUCUUAACCUAUAAUAUUAAUUUUCGAUUAAAUAUUUAAUUACACAAACCAAUCACUUAUUAUAAAAGAACAAUACGCAUUCAUUAAUUUUUAUAUUGUAUUAAUAAUUGAUGAAUUUAAUAAAUUUUCAGGCCUCUGUUCGUUGGUGCACCUGCAAGAGUUGUACAUUGAUAAUAAUGAUUUAAGAGGUAGCUUGCCUUGGUGCUUGGCAAAUAUGACAUCCCUCCGAAUAUUAGAUGUUUCUUCCAAUCAACUUACGGGAAGCAUCUCCUCAUCUCCCCUCGUUCAUUUGACAUCCAUUGAAAAGUUGGAUCUUUCAAACAAUCACUUUUGGAUCCCAAUUUCACUUGAACCACUUUUCAAUCACUCACGACUCAAGCUUUUCUAUGCUGACAACAAUGAAAUAAAAGCUGAAAUAACUGAGUCACAUUCUUUGACUGCCCCAAACUUCCAAUUAAAAUAUCUCUCAUUGUCUUCCGGUUACGAAGAUGGUGUCACAUUCCCCAAAUUCCUUUACCAUCAACAUGACCUGGAGUAUGUUGACCUCUCACAUAUAAACAUGAGCGGAGAAUUUCCAAAUUGGUUGUUGGAAAACAACACAAACUUAGAAUAUAUUUUUUUGGUUAAUGAUUCUCUUGCAGGACCUUUCCGGUUGCCAAUUCAUUCACACAAGCGGUUAAGACUGUUGGAUAUAUCCAACAACAACAUCAGAGGCCACAUUCCAGUAGAAAUUGGAGAUGUUUUACCGGGUUUAUUUUCUUUAAACAUUGCCAUGAAUGCUUUAGACGGUUGCAUUCCCUCUUCAUUUGGUAAUAUGAAAUUCCUCCAAUUUCUGGACUUAUCCAACAACCAAUUGACUGGUGAAAUCCCUAAGCACUUGGCCGUGGGUUGCGUCAACUUAGAGUCUCUUGCGUUGUCAAACAACAACUUAGAAGGUCAUAUGUUCUCCAGAAACUUCAACCUGACAAACUUGAAAUGGUUACAAUUGGAAAGCAAUCACUUCGUAGGAGAGAUCCCACAAAGUUUGUCUAAAUGCUCCUCACUAGAAGGAUUGUAUCUUAACAAUAAUAGUCUUUCGGGUAAGAUUCCACGAUGGUUGGGUAAUCUCACAUGGUUACAAUAUAUUAUAAUGCCCAAUAAUCAUCUUGAAGGUCCUAUUCCAGUGGAGUUUUGUCAGCUUGAAUCGCUUCAGAUUUUGGACAUUUCAGACAACAACAUAUCUGGAAGUUUACCAUCUUGUUUCCAUCCUCUCUCUAUCAAACAAGUUCAUCUUUCAAAAAAUAUGUUACAUGGACAGCUAAAAAGAGGUACAUUCUUUAAUUGCUCUUCCCUUGUGACAUUAGAUCUUAGCUAUAAC